CAAGCAUGCAUGCAUGAGGUUAAAUCCUAGAAUAUUAUCAUAAGAGAAAAUUCUAUGUUACAUAAAUGUAGGUCAUACACUUAUUUAUAAAUGUGAUACCCAAAUCUGAAUAAGUAAAUUGGCUCUUCAACAAAUCUGUUGUUAGAGUGAUAACCUGAUGAGUCAUAUUUUGUGUAAUCUUAGUUCUAUUAAUAGUAAUUACACCACCUACGACCUUGUUACAAGUUUUUGAACAAAUUUGUUGUCAAUGUUGUAAUUUUAGUUUAAUUAUAUGUAAAUAGUAUAAAUAAAUAUAGUAAGUAGUUGGUCUUAAUAUCGUAAUUUUGAUUGAUAUAAAUUGUAAUUUUUACUUAAAUAAAUAUAAAAUAAGUGUAUAAUAAACAUUAAAGUGUCAUAGCUUAUCCCAUCUAUGAGACCAUUCAUCAUGGGCUGCUAGCAUGUUUAGAAUUUUUGAGACAUUUCGCUGAAGUGAAUGAGACCCUCAAAUCAACUGAGUGAUAGGUAGGGCUCCUUAAUCUGAUUUUUCAGUUACAUCAACAUCUCAUUACCUCAUUCCACUGUGAGGUGAGGUCAUGUACGUGAUAGUUUAGUAGUAUUUCCUGCUAUUUUGAAUUCUGUUGGAGGAAAUUAUUAUUUUUUCUCUACAUUUGUUUUUGGUGUCAUAUGUUUCUCUACAUUUGUUUUUGGUGUCAUAUGUAUAGUUUUGUGAGAGCAUCUUCAACAUUGCUUUCUAACUCUCAGCCAAAUUAAUUUGCAAGCUAGCUACAUUUUAUAAACAUCAGCCUUUUUUUUUUUUGGAGCAAAUACAAGUACUGAUACUAACUGAAACCAAAUAUCUCUUUUUAUACACCAAAUAAAAAACCAAUACUAACUGAAACCAAUAAAUGAACCACUAAAGUUUCUCCUUUCUUUAAUUUAGCAUAGAUUUUAACCAAAGGAAAUAGUAUUUAAGUUGUCAGAUUCACUAAAGUGGGCUUAAAAAAUCCCUAGACCAUUUGGAUCGAUGGUUAAGUUGUUCCAUGAAACUGUGUUUGGCUACAAGCAGAGCUGAUCACGUACAGUCUCUUCACCAGCAAAGAAAAGGUAGGUUUGACUUCUCUAAUUAUCUAAAUAAAGAAUAUUGUUGUAACCUUGUAACCUGGAUGAUAAGAAAGAAACUAGGAGCUGAAAGCCGAUCUAUCAUUUUGAGCUCGAAAUGAAAAUCAUGGUGGAAUGUAAAUACCUUCUUGAUAUUACAGGAUCCAUGGUACGUGGUUUUCAUAUCCUUCUAAGAAAUAUGCCUUCUACAUAAACUGAUGUGCUUGCAUGUAUGUAUGCAGAAGAUAAAUGGAACAUAACAGAAUCGCAAAUUGGAUGAGUACAAUGAUCAAAAUGCCUUGCCAAUAGGGAAAGAUAUCAAAGGUUAGUUGAGACACUGAUGUAUCUAACUAUCUAUGACAGAGUUUGCCAAGUCAUUUUAUACAGGCUCCAAGCUCAGCUCAGCUCACAACUGCAGUACUUAGGGCUAUGGCGCAUGCCUUUUUCACAAAAAAGGCUAUUCGUCAAAGCUCUAAGCAAGUGUCAACCAAGGCUGGCGCAUGCCUUUUUCACAAAGGAUGGAAAACUCACAUACAAUGCCGUCUUAGGCAGGCACGGAACCAGGGAUGGGCUGAGGUAUGCUGCAGCACACCUCAACAUUUUGGAGAGAAAAAAAAUGAUUAUAUAUAUAUAUAUAUAUAUAUAUAUGCUGCAAGUCCCUGCAACAAGCCAACAACUCUCUUUUUUUUCUCCCCUUUUCUCCUCGUCUGUUGUCCCCUCCUCACCUUCUCUCCCCUUCUCUCCUAUUUUCUGUCUUUUCUCCCCUCUUAUGUGACUCCCCUCCUCACCUUUUCUCCCAUUUUCUCCUCCUUUCUGUCUUUUCUCCCCUUUUUCUCCUCUUUUUUGUCGUCCUCUCCUCACCUCUCUCUGCACAUCAGCGUCGGUCUCUCAUCUCUCUCUACCAAAGUCACUCACUCAUCUCCUCAGCACUCUGCUCUCAUUCUCUCCACUUUAUUGAGGUAUGAAUUUUUUUGAUGAAAUUAGAAUGUGAUUUAGGUUAGAAUUUGGGUAUUUCUAGUUUUGUUGAUGUAAGGGAUCAUUAAUAUUGUUGACUCAUCUUCUAAGCAUGUUUCUGAGUUAAAAUCUAUUCAAGAAGUUGAAGUUGUGGAACAAAUUGCUGUUGGGGAACUUGAAACUGGAAAGUGAGCUAACCAGACAUGCAAUUUACAAAGAGCUGGAGCUACUCGGUGGAGUUCAAGGAAUCUUCUAGUCCCUUCUGAAAUGACAAAACGUCUGCCAAUGCCUAUUAAAGAUGUUUGUUGGGAUAACGACCACUAAUCUGAAGUGCUAUCGUAGCAGGAACGUGAUCUCCUAGACUCUAAGAAACAAUAUUGCUCUGUGGUGGGACUACUAUAUACUGAAGAUGACUAGUCGUAGCAUGAGAAAUUUUAUUUUUUAGAAGCCUCAGAAGAAGAAAGAAGAGAAAUAUCAGCAACAAGUUUCCCAGCUUUGUGAUUAUCGACCACAAGUUUUUUGUUGCUAUAAA